rnacentral:rRNA from 1 species
AACGUAGGACGCAAGCGUUAUCCGGAGUACUGGGCGUAAAGCGCGGGCAGGCGGCCCGUAAAGUCUGAUGUGAAAGCGCCCGGCUCAACCGGGCGAGGCCAUUGGAAACUAGCGGGCUGGAGGGCAGUAGAGGUCGGCGGAAUUCCGGGUGGAGUGGUGAAAUGCGUAGAGAUGUGGAGGAACACCAGUGGCGAAGGCGGCUUUCUGGUCUGUAACUGACGCUGAGGCGCGAAAGCGUGGGGAGCAAACAGG